rnacentral:rRNA from 1 species
UACGUAGGGUGCAAGCGUUAUCCGGAAUUAUUGGGCGUAAAGAGCUCGUAGGCGGUUUGUCGCGUCUGCUGUGAAAACCCGAGGCUCAACCUCGGGCCUGCAGUGGGUACGGGCAGACUAGAGUGCGGUAGGGGAGAUUGGAAUUCCUGGUGUAGCGGUGGAAUGCGCAGAUAUCAGGAGGAACACCGAUGGCGAAGGCGGGUCUCUGGGCCGUAACUGACGCUGAGGAGCGAAAGCAUGGGGAGCGAACAGG